GGUUAACUGUUUUGAACACAUGGAAAUUCAUUUGUUUAGGGAUUUUUAUUGUUAUAGCAAGGCAUCGUUGAGAUUCAAACCUAUGAUCUUCUGUUUUCUAUUCAUGGAAUUAGUCCACUGCGCCACCAGGAUGUACAAACAGGCCCAAUUUCAAAGGGAACAAGCGCUCAUUAAGAUUAGGUGUCGAUAGAAAGAGUUUUGUUGACGUUGAGGACGGAAUGUUUUUACAUUUAAAAGAUGUAUUUUGGUUUUUAUGUAAAGUUUUCUUAAUGUUCUGAGAACAUGACUUUAAAUAGAACCAUGAGGAAUACCUGCAGAAAACAUUAUGUUGAAGUACUGAAAUUCCCACAGAAGAACGUUGUUUCUUAACAUUCUCUGAAAGUUCUGAGAACUUGAGUUUAAUAGGACCGCGAGGAAACCUGUAGAAACCGAAAUGAAAUUCCCACCUAAGAAACAUACGGUUCUCAAAACGUAAUGUGCCAUCUGGGUAUCCUGCAACGUUCCCAGAAUGUUGUGGGAAGGUUGUAUUCAAAAUAACCAUAGGACAACCACACUCUCACCAAGCUCUAAGAAACAUAUGGUUCUCAGAAUGUUAUGUGCUAGCUGUUUCUCAAGUAAUUAGCCAACAGUCACCUUCAGUUUACACAUUUACACAAAACUUCCUCUAAUUCCUUUUUUUUCAAUCACCAUCAUUGUUAAGUAACAGGAAAUAUACAUGCAACACUUUUGACACCACUCUCGUUAUAACUGCUUGUCACUCAUUUUAUUGGAACCAGUUGGCUUUUAAAAUGUGUGCCGGUGCCAUGGUCACUGCUGGUGUUUUCCUUGGACCUGUAGCCUCCUGUUUGGGCACCUCUUUUCACAACACAGUGUGGAUUGGAAAGCUGAUUACCCGAAGGUUGUUUUUACCAAUAAGGGAGAUGAUGUGACCAUUCCAUGCAAUUUUACCUCUCCCCCGUCCCCAUCUAAAGAGCCUAUCCAGGCCUACUGGAAACGCCUGGGAAAUACUAAACUUAACAUCAAUGACAAUGACAAGAAUGAAUUCCUCUAUCACCCCAACAACACAUUUGUCAUCAAGAGUUUUCAGAACAGGACCAACAUGACAGGAAAUGUCACUAAGGGAAACUGCUCCCUGAACAUCAAGAGAAUUGACGAAGGCGACAUGGGGCCCUACUACUUGAGAAUUGCCACUGGAGCCAACAACUUCAGUUUUAUUAAUGAACUUGUCUACAUUAACGUAUCUGGAACCUCCGGGACUAUUUCAAUCAUACCAAUGGACAAGUCAAACACAGUUGAUUCCACAACUACAGUCCCACUAGCCACCACAGAAUGAGGUUGGUGGCACCUUCAUUGGGGAGGACAGGCUUGUGUGUGUGAGGAAGCGCUAUCCACGACCAUAUAUAUUGCCACCACGGUCCCAGUGGUUGCAGUUCUACUGGUUGCUGUAUUGGGGAUUGUUUGGUUCUUCAAGUACAGGAAAAGGUCCAGGUGUGUCACUAUGCAAGUGUCUGGAUAUUAUGCUAAUUUCACCAUGACUCCAAUGGCCAAACCUGAAAGAGUCAAAAUUACAAAGAAAGAUAACACCCAAGUUCCUCCUCCAAGGGUCAUUGAUGAGCCCGUCUAUGGCAACGUCCAGGAUCCAAACGAUCCGAUGGACAGUAUGGAUCAAAUGGACAGUGUAUAUGCAAAUGUGGAUCAUGUAAAACAGUGAUGAGGCUGCAUCUCAGAUUUCGUCACUGUUUAAUAAUACUUGUUGAGUGUGUGCGCGCGUGUGUGUUUUUAUCCUGAUUCUUUUCUUGUCAAAAGGCAGUUUACAGAGUGUCAGCCCUCAUUUCUCACAUCCUGUUUGACUUUCACUUGGUUAGACAAUAAUAUGUGCAGCUUGUUUGUUAAAUGUAAAAUACAUAGUUCAGUAUGUAACUAUUUUUGAAAGGACUGGCUUUCAAAUAAACAUACUUACUGAGA